GUUUUUCAAAGGGAGAGUCAGGGAAGUCAAGGCAAUGCAAACCAUCAGUGGAGUGGUGGUAGCAUCCUCCACUAAUGGCUGGAUGAAGGAGGAUUUGACUGCAGACUGGCUGAGAAAAGUGGCGGGAAACUAAACUUCGGUCCUCGUCUGCGAGCCUGGGAUUCUUACCGAUGUCACAUCAGCGCUGCCACCAAAGUGGAGCUCAAGCGGGGGCUACAACGUAACCAUGGCUGUCAUACCUGGAGGUUGUACCAAAUACAUCCAGGCCCCUGAUGUCAUGUGGAAUCAACCGUUCAAAGCCAGUCUGCAUGAAUCGUAUGACAACUGGAUGGCAGGGGAGGCGGGAAUAUGAGAGCCCCAGCUCGCCGCUUACUCGUAGCCUGGCUCCUUAAAGCGUGGGACGAGCUGGACGCGGAGCUGGUGAAGAACUCCUUCAAGGUGUGUGGCUUGACAGUGGCUGCUGACGGUAGCGAGGACCACCUGAUCCACUGUUUCAAAGAGAGAGAGCCAUGCGCAUCAGGGCGAGAGCUGUUCUCUCAGGCAGGACAGGGAGGAAGAGGAAGAGGAAGAGUUUAACAACGAACUGGUAGCUGAGGAUGACGAUGAUGAGGACAUUUAAACUUGGUCACACAGUACAUCGUAGCCUUUAUUAGUGUUUUUUAAUGUUGAUGUGUUCUGAAUGAGCAUGUAGCCAGGAUUUGGCUAUUAUUGAUCAGCCUUUGGUCUACAGUGUUACUAUAUUAUGAUAUCUGCCUCACAUACCAAUAGACUUUAUGUUCUUUUAGUUCCCAUAUUUUUUAGGUAGGCUAUGAAGUUUGUUAAACAGUGCAAAUACAGAACCUAAAGAUUGGAGCAUAUUGUUGUUAAAGGGGCAACAUCCCUUUCAUUUAAAGGGCAUUGUGGUCUACCUGAUUUGUUGAAACCUGUGCAAAUAAAACCUGAAAUACCACAACUAUGGUAAAACCUUCAGCUUUCAUUCUUUCUAAGGUCAGCUGCAUAUUCUCUCUCUCUCUCUCUCUCUCUCUCUCUAGGUUGGUCUAGAUGAGCUGUCUCUCUCAGAGCUAGAUUAAGUGAAUGAUUAGUAAUUCAUAUGUUGUUUGAUAUCCUAAUUUUUCUUUUUUUUACAAAUAAGAUUGAAACUGCUUUAAAUAAACAAUGGUAUUUUCCAUAUUGAUCAUCCACAGAUGAGGCAGGGUGCGUUCAGUGGUUGAGGGAGUUUUACGGUACAUUGGAUAACCAAAGCUAAUUGUAUAAUAUUGUGAGGACUGGACUCAUUUACAGGCAGCAGAGCCAAAGCUAAAUGUUGUAUUCUUUUAUUUUUUCAUAGAAAUAUAAUUUGCAAUUUCUUGUAGUAAAUAUUGACUCAUAUUAAGAUUUUAUAGAACAUAUUCUAUUCAGUAAAUAUUGAAUGUACCUGAUUGUGUUCUGUAUAGAUCUACUUAUUGUCAGCGACCGACAGAUGGAGCAAACUGGGUUGUAGUGGGUGUUGAGUUGAGCUGCAGGCCGCGCCCCUCCCUGCCUGAGUGCAUCAGGUGUGGGUGUGUCUCCCAGCCUGAAGGCAGCAGACUGAGUGCACCAGGUGGAGAUGAUUUGGUGAUCGGGGGAGUUUGGAGGCACUCACUCACAGGAUGGUGAGAGGAAGCAGUGUGUGGAAGAAAUGGUUGGAGAGACUGGACUUGGGUAAAUGAGACUGCAGGACUAAAGCUUGUUUCAAACAAGGAAGAAGGAGCCGGGGAGCUUUCAUUGAUGUCAUCUGUUUUCGUAGCUUUCAUUGGAGUUGUUGUGAACUGUAGACUGAUGUAGACUUGAGCAUUUGGGAAAUCAUGUGAUCAAAUUCAGGUUAAAAUGUGAUAUAUUUAAUAUCAUGUGGGUUAAAAGUACAGUUAAGAAAUGUGUAUUUUAAAAAGGAUUCAAGCUAAAAGUCAUUUGAUAAAUGUGAUUUAUGUUUAUUUAAAAGAGGUAAAAGCUGCUACAGAUCGUUGGGUUAAAAUCAUCAUUGAACAGUGCUUUAAAAUGGAUUUAAUUUAGUUUGGUGCUUUAAAUGUUGGUAUUUUCUACUGAUUUUCUAGAUUAAUUUCUAGUAGUUUAAAUGAAGUCUUUGAGUUUGGGUUAUGGUGAUUGAUUAUGGUUUCUGGGUUACAUUUUCUUAAAGGUCUAUUUGUGUUUGUAUUUGAAGGUUUUUCACCUGUUAUUGGCCUCGGAAACUUUCAAAAUAAAAGAAAGAAAGCUGAAUCUUGGUCUCUGAGUGAAUUCCAGUCCAAUCUUCUGAAGCAAGCUGCCUU
rnacentral:lncRNA from 15 species